CAAUAGCGUAUAUUAAAGUUGUUGCGGUAAAAAAGCUCGUAGUUGGAUUUCUGUUGAGAGCGACCGGUCCAUACCAUGUAUGCGUAUCUGGCUUGCUCUCGGCAUCCUCUCGAUAGACGUUACUGCGCUUGAUUGCGUGGUGCGGAUCUCGGGACUUUUACUUUGAGGAAAUUAGAGUGUUCACGGCAGGCUUUCGCCAGAAUACAUUAGCAUGGAAUAAUACUAUAGGAUCUUGGUUCUAUUUUGUUGGUCUCUAGAAUUGAGAUAAUGAUUAAUAGGGACAAUUGGGGGCAUUCGUAUCAACACGUCAGAGGUGGAAUUCUUGGAUUGUGUUGCGACGAACUACUGCGAAAGCAUUUGCCAAGGAUGUUUUCAUUGA
rnacentral:rRNA from 1 species